CUCCCCUCUUUCUUUCUUUCUUUCCUUCUCGAACUCGUUUACUUAUUCGUUUUCUUAUUUCUUGGAUGGAAAAAUUGUGGCACGAAGAAGGAUCGUUUCUCUUUUCGCACUGGCCCAUCCCGUUUAAGCAUUCGUUUUCUAGUUUUCUAAAUAUUUCGGAUAGAUUCGAAUUGUAUAUAAUUUGGAAUUAUUAAGCCGGGGAUGAGUUGUGGAACAAUCGUGUUUCGGUUGAUGGUUUUACGAAAGCGAGCAAAUGGCGGAAAGGAGGGAGGGGAGGGGGGAUACGCGUUUUAUGUUCGGAACGGUUUUGCGGGCCGGCGAUCCUGCUGUUGAUCGUUUCAAAUUGAAAUCCAUUAUAUCGGGCAUGGAACGAGAUAACGAGAUUCCAUUUUGUUUUUCCAUUUUUCGCUGUUUCGAAAUCAGGAUCGAGAAUUUUUUACGAAGAAUUUUAAAUCUCGAAACGAUCAAUUUAUUCGUAACGAUUCGUUGAUUUGUUGUAAUUAAUUUGUUGUGAUUAUACAUUUUUAUACAUAAUUGUAUAUAUUAUACGUAUAUAAAUUAUGCGUGAUUUACUAUAAUUAUUAGAACGAAAAGAGAGACACGUGCGUAUCGUUUCUGUGUCCGACAGACGACACCGUGCGAUCGUUCGAAUUUGACAACAAUAACGGUCGAUGUUUACAUUUCGCGCGCGGUCGAAUUUUGUUUCCAUAACAUUCCGCGAGUGGCUCGUCGACGCUCGUAAUAUGUUAGUCGCUUACGAACUUCGCUCACGAACUUUUCGUUCUCGCACGCGUCGUCGAUAAAAAUUAUUAUUUGCGAUAAUGUGUAACCGGUCGGUAUUAAAAAACGAUCGAAAGGAAAAAGAGAAGGGAUCGAUCACGAACAAUCGGCGAAGGCAAAGGAGAGACUCCGUGGCCCCGUCUCGCUCUCGUCCAUGACGCAGCCGCGUAAAUGAUGGCGCCCAACAUUAUCUAUUGUGCGCCCAUUCCAUUUAAUAUUGUAUUCCAUAACGCAAACAAAGGUGCUGUCAACGACUAAUGAAGAUCGUAUGACCCGGGACGAUCUCGCCGGGAUGGAGGAUAUAAUAAUUCAAACGGGAUGCCUGGACCACUUACAAAUGGCCGACGAAACGGACCUAAGGGUUCGCACGCGAGAGAAAGAUAUCGAGGGUCGCGAAUUCAAGGACACGUGGAAUUAAUCGUUGCAAGAAUUAUCGCGAAUCACCACUGAAUUCCUCCUUCCUGUCUUCCCCUUCUCCUCCUUCCAUAUUUACCAAUUCCACGAUUUCUUGAUAAAGUUGCGGAGGGGAGGGGGAUGCUAUUUCUCUUCCAUCCUGGUCGAAGGUGGAAGCAAGGAUGAUCAAUUAAUACGAUAGAUUCGAGCGGAAUUAAAAUUUUAUUAUUAUUAUUAUUAUUGUUAUCUUGUUGUUGCUAUUUAAAAAUUGGUGGAAAUUUGGUGGAAAUAGGGAAGGGUGUAGUUAUUGGGAUCAAGGGUUGGUUCAUGGUGGUAAUUACAGGGUGGAAAAACGAAUCGAAAAAUGGGGGAGAGAUGGAAGAGAAACUUUUCCACCCUCGAUCCCGAACUUCGUCACAUUCAUCAUUGUUCUUGCCAACCGACCUUCUUUUCCUUUCUUCGAUUUCUUUUUCUCCUUACUGGGGAGGCCACCUCGUAAAUUCGGAAACACGGCGAAGAUUCCUCGCGAUGACACACUUAACCGCCGUUGCCACGCAAAAAACUGCGACGGGAUCUACUGCAAAUCCUGCUUCAACUUGUGCAUGUAUACAGAAAGAGAGAAAGAGAGAGAAAUUUCGAACGCGAUAUACACGCUGGAAACAAAAGGGAUGAAAUAUUUCUUGGCGCGGAAAGUUGAGGAAAAUUCCAGGAAGGAGAUCUUCCAUCAUCCAGGAAAUUUUUCGGUUACAAAAUAAAAUAAAAUUGAAAAAAAUACGAAUACAGUAAAUUAAUAAUUGUUUGGUUAUUCGAAAAUUUAGAUGAAUAAUUUUGAUUGUGAAUAAAUUUGUACUUUUUUAUAUAUACGUGGAACAAUAUCUUUGUUGGAAAAUUAAAGAGAGAUCUUUCAAAAAACGA